UACGUAGGGUGCAAGCGUUGUCCGGAAUUAUUGGGCGUAAAGAGCUCGUAGGCGGUUCGUCGCGUCGGCUGUGAAAUCCCGAGGCUCAACCUCGGGUCUGCAGUCGAUACGGGCGGACUGGAGUUCGGCAGGGGAGACUGGAAUUCCUGGUGUAGCGGUGAAAUGCGUAGAGAUCCGGAAGAACACCGGUGGCGAAGGCGGUCUGCUGGGCCAGUACUGACGCUGAGGCGCGACAGCGUGGGGAGCAAACAGG
rnacentral:rRNA from 1 species